rnacentral:rRNA from 1 species
UACGUAGGGGGCUAGCGUUGUCAGGAUUUAUUGGGCGUAAAGAGCGUGUAGGCGGCCUGGUAGGUCUGCUGUGAAAACUCGAGGCUCAACCUCGAGAUGUCGGCGGAAACCAUCUGGCUAGAGUCCGGAAGAGGAGAGUGGAAUUCCUGGUGUAGCGGUGAAAUGCGCAGAUAUCAGGAAGAACACCUAUGGCGAAGGCAGCUCUCUGGGACGGUACUGACGCUGAGACGCGAAAGCGUGGGGAGCGAACAGG